GAUGAACGCUGGCGCCGUGCCUAACACAUGCAAGUCGAACGAGCGAAAGAGAGCUUGCUUUCUUGAGCGAGUGGCGAACGGGUGAGUAACGCGUGAGGAACCUGCCUCAAAGAGGGGGACAACAGUUGGAAACGACUGCUAAUACCGCAUAAGCCCACGACCCGGCAUCGGGUUGAGGGAAAAGGAGCAAUCCGCUUUGAGAUGGCCUCGCGUCCGAUUAGCUAGUUGGUGAGGUAACGGCCCACCAAGGCGACGAUCGGUAGCCGGACUGAGAGGUUGAACGGCCACAUUGGGACUGAGACACGGCCCAGACUCCUACGGGAGGCAGCAGUGGGGAAUAUUGCACAAUGGGGAAACCCUGAUGCAGCGACGCCGCGUGGAGGAAGAAGGUCUUCGGAUUGUAAACUCCUGUUGUUGAGGAAGAUAAUGACGGUACUCAACAAGGAAGUGACGGCUAACUACGCGCCAGCAGCCGCGGUAAAACGUAGGUCACAAGCGUUGUCCGGAAUUACUGGGUGUAAAGGGAGCGCAGGCGGGAAGACAAGUUGGAAGUGAAAUCUAUGGGCUCAACCCAUAAACUGCUUUCAAAACUGUUUUUCUUGAGUAGUGCAGAGGUAGGCGGAAUUCCCGGUGUAGCGGUGGAAUGCGUAGAUAUCGGGAGGAACACCAGUGGCGAAGGCGGCCUACUGGGCACCAACUGACGCUGAGGCUCGAAAGUGUGGGUAGCAAACAGG
rnacentral:rRNA from 1 species